UAAGUGAAAAAAAACAAAGACUUCACUGAACUUAUUAUGUCUUAAUUGAGGACACCUACAUGGAUGUAUAUUUGUGUGUGAGCAAACGUGGAUUUCUUUUUGUGAGGGUGGAGCAUCAUGAUGAAGAAACAGAGCAUCAGAGGUGGUGCAAACGUAAGCAAAGACAGAAACGCUGGAGACGAGCAAGGCUUAAAGUAUACAAGUCAUUCCUGCAUGUGGCGGAGUGUUAACAGUGGUGGUGGAGCGGGCUGGACUGACGGUGCCCUCCAAGCUUUUGGCAUCAGAGUGACCCGUACAGUCAGUGGGUUGUAAUGAACAGAGUUUAAACAAACAACGAGCAGAGCGACGACUGAUGGAAGGAAGAAAACAGAGAUGUGAUGUCACGCGGAAAGUGACGAAUGACCAAGUAUCGACCUGAUGUUGAUAAAUACGCUCCAAAGUAUUUUUCAGUGCUGAAAGACGCUCCAUGCCGUAUGACUCCCUCCUGUGUCUGAAUCCUCUGUCCUUCACUGUAUAUAUUUUAUAUGACCGCUCAGUUAUAACAUGAAACACCCAGGUGAUACAGGCAAAAAAAAAAAAUCAGUACUGUAAAAUAGAAGCGUCAUCCAUUUCAAGGUUCUAUGUGGUGCAGCUGUUAUUAUUUCAUGUUACAAAUGGCAGACCGUACAUAAUGCGGUUUCCCGACCUCGCUCUGGCUACCGAGGGAGCUACAGCUGUGGCUCCCUUACUGUAACAUUAAUCCCUGUGGCACAUAUAUCUUGAGCGACGCCUCUGAGCGCAGACUGCAGUGAUCAA